rnacentral:rRNA from 1 species
ACGAACGCUGGCGGCGUGCUUAACACAUGCAAGUCGAACGGAAAGGCCCUGCUUUUGUGGGGUGCUCGAGUGGCGAACGGGUGAGUAACACGUGAGUAACCUGCCCUUGACUUUGGGAUAACUUCAGGAAACUGGGGCUAAUACCGGAUAGGAGCUCCUGCUGCAUGGUGGGGGUUGGAAAGUUUCGGCGGUUGGGGAUGGACUCGCGGCUUAUCAGCUUGUUGGUGGGGUAGUGGCCUACCAAGGCUUUGACGGGUAGCCGGCCUGAGAGGGUGACCGGCCACAUUGGGACUGAGAGACGGCCCAGACUCCUACGGGAGGCAGCAGUGGGGAAUAUUGCACAAUGGGCGGAAGCCUGAUGCAGCAACGCCGCGUGCGGGAUGACGGCCUUCGGGUUGUAAACCGCUUUCGCCUGUGACGAAGCGUGAGUGACGGUAAUGGGUAAAGAAGCACCGGCUAACUACGUG